UUAAACAUGUUUAAGGUGGUAUUGGAGUCUAAAAUAAAAAUGAUAGAAUUUGUUCAUACUUUGCCAAAACGUUGUAUCUAUUGAUACAUGUUGAAAAAUAUAAUAAAAAUGAUAGGUCACCGCGCAUUUUCUCAAGCUACAGGACGGGACAAAAUGACACAUUUUGUAUGGAUUAUACAGGAAAAACACCAUUUUGUGAUUAGAAACUAAACAAAAUGAUAGAAUUGUUAAAUACUUCAGGAAAAGAUAGCUUUCAGACACUGCUUUGAGAAUAUCAAAAGAAAAGAUAGGGUCACC
rnacentral:lncRNA from 1 species